UUGCCAUCUGACUAUGCCAGUAAAAAAACGGCGGAACUAUUUUUGCCGCUAUAAAGUGGGCGGGAAUCUGUCAAAGUCCCGAGCAAUUGCGAAUUUCAUAUUCGUUAUUGCGAACUAGUAGGUGAACAGUGUUCAGAGAUUUUGAAACAUUUGCGUACACCCGUGGCAGCAUCAAAUAUCUCGAAUCCCAAACGAAGGCGUGAAUUCGAAUGAUGCGGAAAUUAGAAAAAGGAAGCAUUUCAGAAUUAUAAGCAUAAUUGCUAAAAAUAUCGCGUCUAGGAAAAUUUUCCUCUGAAAGCCAGAUGGUUCAGCGCAAUUUUGACUGGCUUCAAUAACUUCGCUUCAAAGGCAUGCCGCAUCGUAUUCCAAACACUAUAUUUGAUACGUUCUGCAGUAGAGUAAAAUUAAGUUCUCUAUAUCUCACUGUGUAGAGGUGGGAGUAAUGCCAACAAGAAGUAUACGCUCAAAAAAUACGCUCAGGACGUGCCACGCAGUGUGUAGCAAACACUUCGUGAGAAUGGCAUGAGGGAAAACGUUGGAAAAAGAUGCUAACGAGGAUCACAUAAACCACGAAAGUGUUGAGACAACCCUUUCGAAUUCCCACUUAUUCCCCAAUUCCAUGCCAGACAAAACUGUCGUUGCUUCUCUACCUGGAUUACGCGAAUCCGACAGAUGGGUCGUACUUUCGGUUAGUGGAGACGGUGUCAUCUUGGCCCUUGAGCUUGCUAGAGUGUUUGAAAAGCUGAGGGAUGCACAUAACUGGAAUCCACGGAGAAGGAUAGUUUUCUGCUUCUCCAACGAGUUUGGUCGGGAUUCGUGUCGCGACAAUCUACCGAAAUACGCACACCAUAAGAUAGUGGCCUAUUUAACAGUCCAUGGAAACGCCAUACAGAAGAACGGGUGCUUCGUAGCCCCAGGAUCAGACGUGGUGAGAUCGUCGGUAUUUGAAGCAGUUCAGACAGUUCAGGAUACAAUUUCUGCCCAAGACCUAACAAGUACUCGCAGAAUUUUCAACUGGUGCCAAAAGGAACCUGAUGACGGGCUAUUUUUGCCUAGACUUCCCUCAGACAUACCGCAUGCCUCACUCGCAUUAUUAGCAGCAACCAACACUAGUGUCAAUGCUGACUAUGAAACAGCGACCCCGUACCGUAGAUCUUUUUUUCAAAUUAUCGGUCUUACUAUCUGGAGACUUUCGAACAGUCCGAUUCUUCACUGGGAUCCGAAAUACUUCGAACGCGACGUCAAAGCAGCCUUGAAGAUGAUCGAUUCUCCAGGAUUCGUCCAAGUUAAAGAGAAGAUUACAUCGACUGUGCAUAAAAUAGUCAAUAGAGCUUACAACUUGAAUCGAAACAUAAACGAGAUCGAGGAGCCUGACUCACUGUCAGCACGAGUGAUGAACGACUUGGUAAUGGAUUUGGAUCGAGCACUGCUGUGCCCAGACGGUAAUUUAGCGUCAAAAACUGACCCAGCUUUAAUCAAACGUGGGCUGGUGGAUUCGGAAAUGCUCGAUGAUAUGCUCAAUUGCUAUGAGAAUGUAGUUCAAGUUUUGCAGGAAGGGUGACUUCCAAGUUUUCUGAAUGCCCAGUGAAUGAAUAACAAGCCACCGUCGACAGUAAUGUGUUUUAAAAAGGGUACCGUCGAUGGCUUGGCAAUUUGGAUUGAAAACAGAGUAGGCGCUAAUCUCGCCCUUCUUCUUUGGACCAGACCGAGUGUUCUUCCAUAUUAGUACUAAGGAUGACACGAUAAAGUAUACGGCGCCGAAUUCGAACUGAAGUGCUAUCAUGUAAAGCGUUGCCCACAGAAGGAAGUACAGCAGGUAAGUGACUUGCGUCAAUACCGGAUUCUCUGCCGGCGUCAAAUCCAGACUCUCUUCAGACUGACUGCUCUCUAUGUCUUCCCUAUCCUGGAACCUUACAAUUCUUAAUGUUGCAGUACUGUUGACGCUGUUCUGUAUUUCAAGUGUUAUAACAAUAGGCGUGUAUAAUUUAUGAUAAUGAAAUAGUCUUUUCCUUCAGUUUUCCGAGCAUAGUGCAUAGAAAUAUAAGUGAAAGCGUGUAAAUUCCUACUACACAGAAGACUGAAGAGAAGUAGCCGUCAAGUUGUAACCAUGAUUAAGUGUAAAUGUUUGCAGUUAUCUCGAAAAGUGUUGUUUGUUGUUACAAAACCGAGCAAACAAAUAACAAUGUGAUGAAAAUACAGAUUGGGUGAGUGAGGAAAUGAGAAGGCGAGA
rnacentral:misc_RNA from 1 species